rnacentral:rRNA from 1 species
GACGAACGCUGGCGGCGUGCUUAACACAUGCAAGUCGAACGGAAAGGCCCUGCUUUUGUGGGGUGCUCGAGUGGCGAACGGGUGAGUAACACGUGAGUAACCUGCCCUUGACUUUGGGAUAACUUCAGGAAACUGGGGCUAAUACCGGAUAGGAGCUCCUGCUGCAUGGUGGGGGUUGGAAAGUUUCGGCGGUUGGGGAUGGACUCGCGGCUUAUCAGCUUGUUGGUGUGGUAGUGGCUUACCAAGGCUUUGACGGGUAGCCGGCCUGAGAGGGUGACCGGCCACAUGGGAAUGAGGAUACGGCCCAGACUCUUACGGGGGGCAGCGGUGGGAAUUAUGGCACAAGGGGCGGAGGCUUAAGGCAGCAAGCCGGCGGGCGGGAGGACGGCCUUCGGGUGUUAACCGCUUUCGCCUGUGACGAAGCGUGAGUGACGGUAAUGGGUAAAGAAGCACCGGCUAACUACGUG